UGGUGGAGUGAUUUGUCUGGUUAAUUCCGUUAACGAACGAGACCGCCGCCUGCUAAAUAGUUCUACUAAUGGUUUUUCAUUGGUAAGAGCUUCUUAGAGGGACGUUCAUUCCACAAGAUGAAGGAAGAUGGCGGCAAUAACA
rnacentral:rRNA from 1 species